GCCUUGGUGGCGGAAUUGGUAGACGCACUGGACUCAAAAUCCAGCGGGGCUCACACCCCGUUCCGGUUCGACUCCGGUCCAAGGCA
rnacentral:tRNA from 1 species